GACGAACGCUGGCGGCGUGCUUAACACAUGCAAGUCGAACGGAAAGUCCCUGCUUUUGUGGGGUGCUCGAGUGGCGAACGGGUGAGUAACACGUGAGUAACCUGCCCUUGACUUUGGGAUAACUUCAGGAAACUGGGGCUAAUACCGGAUAGGAGCUCCUGCUGCAUGGUGGGGGUUGGAAAGUUUCGGCGGUUGGGGAUGGACUCGCGGCUUAUCAGCUUGUUGGUGGGGUAGUGGCUUACCAAGGCUUUGACGGGUAGCCGGCCUGAGAGGGUGACCGGCCACAUUGGGACUGAGAUACGGCCCAGACUCCUACGGGAGGCAGCAGUGGGGAAUAUUGCACAAUGGGCGGAAGCCUGAUGCAGCAACGCCGCGUGCGGGAUGACGGCCUUCGGGUUGUAAACCGCUGUCGCCUGUGACGAAGCGUGAGUGACGGUAAUGGGUAAAGAAGCACCGGCUAACUACGUG
rnacentral:rRNA from 1 species